GGCUGGUUAGCUCAGCUGGUUAGAGCAUGGUGCUGGUAACACCAUGGUCAAGGGUUUGGAUCCUCUUACCAGCCA